UACGGAGGAUGCGAGCGUUAUCCGGAUUUAUUGGGUUUAAAGGGUGCGUAGGCGGUUUAUUAAGUUAGUGGUUAAAUGUUUGAGCUAAACUCAAUACUGCCAUUAAUACUGGUAAACUGGAGUUCAGACGAGGUAGGCGGAAUAAGUUAAGUAGCGGUGAAAUGCAUAGAUAUAACUUAGAACUCCGAUAGCGAAGGCAGCUUACCAGACUGAAACUGACGCUGAUGCACGAGAGCGUGGGUAGCGAACAGG
rnacentral:rRNA from 1 species